CCUACGGGAGGCAGCAGUGAGGAAUAUUGGUCAAUGGUCGGGAGACUGAACCAGCCAAGCCGCGUGAGGGAUGAAGGUACAGAGUAUCGUAAACCUCUUUUGUCAGGGAACAAAGGCGGGGACGUGUCCCCGGAUGCGUGUACCUGAAGAAAAAGCAUCGGCUAACUCCGUGCCAGCAGCCGCGGUAAUACGGGGGAUGCGAGCGUUAUCCGGGUUUAUUGGGUUUAAAGGGUGCGCAGGCGGUCUGUUAAGUCAGCGGUCAAAGCCCGGGGCUCAACCCCGGCCCGCCGUUGAAACUGGCAGUCUCGAGUUGGAGAGAAGUAUGCGGAAUGCGCGGUGUAGCGGUGAAAUGCAUAGAUAUCGCGCAGAACUCCGAUUGCGAAGGCAGCAUGCCGGCUCCACACUGACGCUGAGGCACGAAAGCGUGGGUAUCGAACAGGAUUAGAUACCCCGGUAGUC
rnacentral:rRNA from 1 species